AGCGAACGCUGGCGGCGUACUUAACACAUGCAAGUCGAACGGGGAUCAUUGUGUGAGCAAUCAUGUGAUGGUCCUAGUGGCGCACGGGUGAGUAACACGUGGGUAACCUGCCCUUGAGAUCGGGAUACCCCCUCGAAAGGGGGGCUAAUACCGGAUACGUUCCUCGGAUCGAGAGACCUGGGGAAGAAAGGUGGCGCAAGCUGCCGCUCUUGGAGGGGCUCGCGGCCUAUCAGCUAGUUGGCGGGGUAACGGCCCACCAAGGCUAUGACGGGUAGCUGGUCUGAGAGGACGACCAGCCACACGGGGACUGAGACACGGCCCCGACUCCUACGGGAGGCAGCAGUGGGGAAUUUUCCGCAAUGGGCGAAAGCCUGACGGAGUGACGCCGCGUGUGGGAUGAAGGCCUUCGGGUCGUAAACCACUGUCAGUGGGAAAGAUGGGUGUCGGCGCGAUAACCGCCGGCAUCUGACGGUACCUGCAGAGGAAGCCCCGGCUAACUCUGUGC
rnacentral:rRNA from 1 species